AUGCACGAAGGUUGGUGCUGUUAAAAAGCCCGUAGAGAAUACAUGUGAAUCAUCCGCAAGUCGUAUGAACUUCUUCUUUGGUGCAGUCGGCGCGGUUGUUGUCAUGAGUAGUCUUCUUCUCUAAGGCUGGUUGGCGCGUGGUGCAAUCUGACAUCAGCAGUCUGCUGGUGAGCGAAAGCUCGUAUUCAAGGAAUGACGGCUAUUUCUUUUGAUAAUCUACUCAAUGUCCUUGACUAUGUGAUGGUAUCACAUUUGCAUCCAAUUGUGUCAGUGUUACAUGGAAAUGUUUAAAGGAUA
rnacentral:rRNA from 1 species